UUUUUAAACUAAACUUUCAAGGGAUUACAUGGUCAUGGUGAAGAAGUUGAAGAAUUGGAUUGAGCUUUACACUGAAAAGGACUCAUAGCACGGUGAUCUGGCAGCUCGAGUGGUCCGCAUUCUCUGCCGGCCAGCUCUGGAAUCUCCGCUUACCUGAG